UACGAAGGGGGCUAGCGUUGCUCGGAAUCACUGGGCGUAAAGCGCACGUAGGCGGCUUUCUAAGUCAGGGGUGAAAUCCUGGAGCUCAACUCCAGAACUGCCUUUGAUACUGGAGAGCUCGAGUCCGGAAGAGGUGAGUGGAACUGCGAGUGUAGAGGUGAAAUUCGUAGAUAUUCGCAAGAACACCAGUGGCGAAGGCGGCUCACCGGUCCGGUACUGACGCUGAGGUGCGAAAGCGUGGGGAGCAAACAGG
rnacentral:rRNA from 1 species